AACAUAAUUAAGGGCUCAUGGAGGAUACCUAGGCACUGCAAGGCGAUGAAGGACGUGACUGGCUGCGAUAAGCCUCGGGGAGCUGUCAAAGUAGCUUUGAUCCGGGGAUUUCCGAAUGGGGAAACCUACUAAGAGUAAUGUCUUAGUAUCCCGACUUUACGUCGGGAAGCGAUACCAGGAGAACUGAAACAUCUAAGUAACUUGAGGAAAAUAAAUCAAUUGAGAUUUCGGUAGUAGCGGCGAGCGAAACCGAAAGAGCCUAAACCUUCUCGAUUUAUCGGGGAGGGGUUGCGGGACCACGAUAUGAUAUCUUGAAACCUAAUUAAAUCUUGCUGGAAAGCGGAACCAUAGAAGGUGAUAGUCCUGUAAAUGAAAGGUUUAAAGAGUCUAGUGGUAUCCCAAGUACUUCGGGACACGUGAAAUCCCGAGGGAAUCAGGGUGGACCAUCAUCCAAGGCUAAAUACUAUGCAGUGACCGAUAGCGAACUAGUACCGUGAGGGAAAGGUUAAAAGAACCCAGGAAUGGGAGUGAAAUAGAACUUGAAACCAUGUGCCUACAAGCAGUUAGAGUCCCGGCUUUAUGUCGGGAUGAUAGCAUGCCUAUUGAAGAAUGAGCCGGCGACUUACAGUUGCAAGCAAGCUUUAGGGUUUUUAGCCCGAGGCGUAGCGAAAGCGAGUCUGAAAGGGCGAUUUAGUUUGCAGUUGUAGACCCGAAACCGAAGCGAUCUAUCCUUGAGCAGGGUGAACCACGAGUAAAAUCGUGGGGAGGCCCGAACGGGUUGAUGUUGAAAAAUCUUCCGAUGACUUGAGGAUAGUAGUGAAAAGCUAAUCGAGCUCGGAGAUAUCUGGUUCUCCCCGAAAUGGUUUUAGGGCCAGCCUUAAGUUUAUCUUUAUGGGGGUAGAGUACAGUUUGAACUAGGGCCUCGAAAGGGGUUCCAACUUCUUGCUAACUCCGAAUACUAUAAAGUCAUUGCUUAGGAGUGAGAGUGCGAGGGAUAAGCUUCGUGCUCAAAAGGGAAACAGCCCAGACCGUCAGCUAAGGUCCCGAAGUUUAAACUAAGUGGUUAAGGAAGUGAGAUUCCAAAAACAGCCAGGAGGUUGGCUUAGAAGCAGCCAUCCUUUAAAGAGUGCGUAACAGCUCACUGAUCGAGGAAUUUUGCGCCGAAAAUACACGGGGCUCAAGUUUAACACCGAAGCUACGGAUUGUUCUCUCGGUUUACCGAGGGAAUUGUGGUAGGGGAGCGUUCUGUUGUAGGUUGAAGUUCAGACGUGAGUCUGGAUGAACGAAACAGAAGUGAGAAUGUCGGCAUAAGUAACGAAAAGACGGGUGGAAAUCCCGUCCGCUGGAAGUCCAAGGUUUCCUGGGGAAGGCUCGUCCUCCCAGGGUUAGUCGAUAUCUAAGCUGAGGCCGAGAGGCGUAAGCGAUGGCAAUACGGUUAAUAUUCCGUAACCGCCUGCAGCGUUAAUGUUUUAGGGGACGCAGGAGAAUAGGUCAGCCACUUAGUGGAUUGUGGUUUUUGUCCUGAAGUAAUUUGGGAUGAAUCGAUCCUGAGCGCAAGCAAGGGAGAAGUGAUUGACUUCACACUGACGAGAAAAGCCUAAUUCAUUGUUGCAGACGAUCGUACUACAAACCGACACAGGUGGACAGGCUGAAUAAGCCAAAGCGCGCGAGAUAACUCUCUCUAAGGAACUCGGCAAAAUGACCCCGUAACUUAGGAAGAAGGGGUUCCCAACUUUACGUUGGGACGCAGAUUCUAGACUCCUGCAACUGUUUAUCAAAAACACAGGUCUCUGCAAACCCGCAAGGGGAUGUAUAGGGGCUGAUGCCUGCCCAGUGCUGGAACGUUAAGGGGCGUGUUGAGAUUAUAUCAAGAUACAAACCGAAGCGCCAGUGAACGGCGGCCGUAACUAUAACGGUCCUAAGGUAGCGAAAUUCCUUGUCAGGUAAGUUCUGACCCGCACGAAAGGCAUAAUGACAGGAGUGCUGUCUCGGAGAGAGACUCGGUGAAAUUGGUAUGGCUGUGAAGACACGGCCUACCUGCAUCAGGACAGAAAGACCCCGUGGAGCUUUACUGUAUCUUAGCUUUGGAUUUCGAUGCAGCUUGCCUAGUAUAGGUGGGAGGCUAUGAAACCUCGACUUAGGUCGGGGUGGAGCCAACAGUGGAAUACCACCCUAGUAGCGUUGGAGUUCUAACCUGAUUUGUGAAAAAUUAGGGACAGAGUUAGGUGGGCAGUUUGACUGGGGCGGUCGCCUCCUAAAGAGUAACGGAGGCGUUCAAAGGUUCCCUCAGCACGGUUGGAAAUCGUGCGUCGAGUGCAAAAGCAUAAGGGAGCUUGACUGUGAGACGUACAUGUCGAACAGGGACGAAAGUCGGAUUUAGUGAUCCGGUGGCACUGAAUGGAAUGGCCAUCGCUCAACGGAUAAAAGUUACCCCGGGGAUAACAGGCUGAUCGCAUCCAAGAGUUCAUAUCGACGAUGCGGUUUGGCACCUCGAUGUCGGCUCGUCGCAUCCUGGAGCUGGAGCAGGUUCCAAGGGUUGGGCUGUUCGCCCAUUAAAGCGGUACGUGAGC
rnacentral:rRNA from 1 species